AACGUAGGUGACGAGCGUUAUCCGGAUUUACUGGGCGUAAAGCGUGUGCAGGCGGAUGUGUAAGUGGUGUAUGAAAGCUCCAGGCUUAACCUGGAGAGGUUAUGCCAGACUGCACGUCUGGAGGGAGUAAGAGGGACAUGGAAUUCCGGGUGUAGUGGUGAAAUGCGUAGAGAUCCGGAGGAACUCCAGAGGCGAAGGCGGUGUCCUGGUACUCACCUGACGCUCAGACACGAAAGCAUGGGGAG
rnacentral:rRNA from 1 species